rnacentral:rRNA from 1 species
UACGUAGGUGGCGAGCGUUGUCCGGAAUUACUGGGCGUAAAGGGCGCGUAGGCGGCUCUUUAAGUCAGAUGUGAAAACCCAGGGCUUAACUUUGGGAGUGCAUUUGAAACUGGAGGGCUUGAGUGCAGGAGAGGUAAGUGGAAUUCCUAGUGUAGCGGUGAAAUGCGUAGAUAUUAGGAGGAACACCAGUGGCGAAGGCGACUUACUGGACUGUAACUGACGCUGAGGCGCGAAAGCGUGGGGAGCAAACAGG